rnacentral:rRNA from 1 species
UACGUAGGAGACGAGCGUUGUCCGGAGUUACUGGGCGUAAAGCGUGCGCAGGCGGUCUGUUAAGACAGAUGUGAAAUCCCCGGGCUUAACCUGGGAACUGCAUUUGUGACUGGCAGGCUAGAGUGUGGCAGAGGGGGGUAGAAUUCCACGUGUAGCAGUGAAAUGCGUAGAGAUGUGGAGGAAUACCGAUGGCGAAGGCAGCCCCCUGGGCCAAUACUGACGCUCAUGCACGAAAGCGUGGGGAGCAAACAGG